GGAAAUUUGUCGUGAAACCUUCAAGUUUAUUUACCAUGUAAGCCAGACCAAACUGACAAACGUCAAAAAAUGGUAUCUGAGGGAAGGUUUCACUCAUGUCGACAAAAAUUUUGCUGUGGCAAAAAACUGCAAGAAAGGCAUUAACUUUAAUGGUCUGCUGCAAUUCACCAUUUUCAUGAAGCGCUAUGGUAAGGAGCAGGGACUACUACUGCCUGGACGUAUACCUGGUCUUCACUCAACUGAUGCAGACACCAUCCUGCUUUCGAGCAGCGAAACAAAACGCAACGUCUGUCAGAAGUUCAAUGAUGCAAGGAAGGCUUGGUGUGCUGAAGCCGGUGAUAUCUCAUAUCAACUUUUUUGCCGUUUGUGAAGACAGUUGUUUCCACAAAUUGUCAUUGCUAAGCCUAGGUCUGACCUUUGUCGAACUUGUCAGCUUCAUACGAAUGUGGUUGCAAGGACUACUGGUGCUACUGUACGUGAAAAAGUGGAGAGGGUGGAAGAAUAUCAGAGACACUUGACGCUAGCAAGUCAGCAGCGAGACCUGUACAACCGCAUUAAAAAGAAGCAAAGGUUUUUUGCAUCAUAACCUUGUCCCUUAGUCAUUCAAAUUUCAAUGUAUUUUUUAAUUGACUUCAUAAACUUACGGUAAAUAUUCUCUUCAUUUUCUUUUAUAUUUCAGACACACC
rnacentral:lncRNA from 1 species